GUUUUAAAAUUCUCUCUGAUUGCUUUGGGCUGCGUUGCUCUGAUCCUGAUUCUGCUGUCCAUCACCAUAUGUUAUGUUUACAAGAAGAAGCAGCUCAAGUCAACACAAGCCGCUGCUGGAGAUACAGAGCUCAUAUACGCUGAUAUCUCUCAUGAGAAAAAGAGUGAAAAGAAGAAUACAGAAUCUUUCCUGGCUGCUGAUGUGGAAUACUCCGAGGUCCGAACGCAGACAAAGAGGAAGAAGAAGAAGAAGGAGGAGGAGGUUCAGUACGGCGAGGUGACAUUCACUCCGAACCACUCAAACGCUCCACAGCAGCAGCUUCAGGAGGAGUGUGUUUACUCGCAGGUACAGAGACACUAGUUUCACAGCAAAACUCGUGUAGGAUCGCACUUUCCCUGAGAAACCGGAUGCUUAUUUUCACUUAUGUUUGGCUUUGGGAGUUUUAUAGGUUAUAUAAAGCACAUAUCUCUUUGCGUUUGUAAAUUAUUUAGCUUGACAUGUUAACAAUGGUACUGUGUGUUGAUAUGUGGUGUUACGGGUUGUAUAGCGUGAGCUUUAACGUACAUGUCUGGGCUGAACUGUCAGAUGAGUAAACAAAACAAUGGAAAAAAGAGGAAACCAAUCGCACAUUAUUUCCCCUUGAACUUCUGUGCAAUUCAGUUUUUAGCGCUUCUCGAUUUGCAACUGCGACUAUACGAUGGCAAGAAAAACCUUGAAAGUUAGCUUUUAAUCAUGAAUCUCGAGGAGGUGAUUGAUGUGCACAAGUGCUCAAAAGUCAUGAAAACACACCUUGAUAGCACACGUACAAUACAGAGACGUCUAUUUGACGUCUGCAUUACAUCUGCAAGGCAUAUUUUUUUAGUGUUUGUUCAUCUGCAAUACGACUAUAGGACGUUUCCUAUCAGAUGUCAAAUAGACGUUAAUAAGAUGUCUUUAAGAUGUUUAUGAUUUAGAAUGAAUGUAAACUGACAUCUUAAAGACGUCUAUCAGAUGUUUGUACACAGCAGAUGCUUUCCAGAUGAAGCGAUCUUUGACAGACCUCUUGCAGACGUGAUGCAGUUUGGUGAUUUGGAAUUAACAUUUCAAAGCAAUUAAAGUCGGAAAGUCACAGAAAAUCUUAGCUUUGCUAGACUGAGUUAUGCAUUUCUGCAUUUGGCCGCCUGGAGUGAGUUGAAGCAGUCACAUGUUGUUAAUGGGGGCUUGUGGCAAAAAUGCAACCAAAAUUAACCAAAAUGCCCCACAAAUUCAAGAUAAAGGGGCAAAAAUUGCCCCUGCACAAUGCAACAAUGUACUACAGCUGUUGUGAUUAAAAUGAACUGCUCAUGCUGCAUCAGAUUGCAUUUUAUGCUUUUUUUAUUUUGCAGUGUUGAGCUUUAUAAGCAAUCACAUGCGUUUCCGUUGAGCUUAGGAAUGCAAUGGCCAAUCAGAGCUGCUUAGAUUAGUCAGUGCUCAAGACUCCGGAGUUGUUGUUGAUUAUAUUGCCGCACUGAACCCACAUCAUAAACAACAGUGCAGAUACGAUGUAAAUAAAAGAUUAAUUUCAUAGCAUCAGUUAUUAUAAUGGGAGGUUUUGCUCAACUUGUGCUAGUCUAGUCUAACGUCAUGGACCGACAUGUUUGUCUCUGAAGCCAUGAGACAAACUUUUUUUGAGACAAAAUUUUGAUUGAUUGAAGUAAUUGGUUAAAUUCAAGUAAUUGACAUUAAAAACAACACAGAUACAAUUAUUAAGGUGGUGAUAAAAACUGCCCUCACGAAUGUACAAAAUCAGUUAAAUAAUGACCCUGGUUUACAGAACCCUUCUGUUUACAGAUAAAUAUUGCAUUAAUAAUGUCUUAAAUUUUGUUCCUCGAGUACAGGGAAAGACCUGAGAGAGGCCAAAAAGGCCUGAUAAUGUCUAAAGGUUUGCACACAUAAGUCCUGUAGUGUUGGUUGAUAGUAAAUUGUAACCUAUUGGUUUCUACCAGAUAAACUAGUCAAGAGUUCAAUUCUUAAAUAAAAACUUCACAGCUUGAAUUUACAGUAAAUGUAUGUAAACACGUCUGCUAAAAGUGAUACUGAAUGUUGAUAUGUGGUGUAACGGGUUGUAUAGUGUGAGCUUUAACGUACAUGUCUGGGCUGAACUGUCAGAUGAGUAAGCAAAACAAUGGAAAAAAGAGGAAACCAAACACACAUUAUUUUCCCUCAAACUUCUGUGGACUCCUGUUUUUAGCGCUUCUUGAUUUGCAACUGCGACUAUAUGAUGGCAAGAAAAAGCAUACAUGAAAGUUAGCUUUUAAUCAUGAAUCUCGAGAAGGUGAUCGAUGUGCUCAAGUGUUCAAAAGUCAUGAAAACACACCCUGAUAGCACACGUACGUCACGGAGAUGUCUAUUUGACGUCUGCAUUACAUCUGCAAGACGUAUUUUUUAGAGUGUUUGUUCAUCUGCAAAAUGUCUAUAGGAAGUUUCCUAUCAGAUGUCAAAUACAUGUUAAUAAGAUGUCUUUAAGAUGUUUAUGAUUUAGAAUGCAUGUCCCUGAUUGCACAAAGAGACUCUAUCUGACCUCUGCAUUACAUCUGCAAGACGUAUUUUUUUUUAGUGUUUGUUCAUCUGCAAUACAUCUAUAGGACAUUUCCUACCAGAUGUCAAAUAGACAUUUAGAAGAUGUCUUUAAGAUGUUUAUGAUUUAGAAUGAAUGUAAACUGACAUCUUAAAGACGUCUAUCAGAUGUUUGUACACAGCGGAUGCUUUCCAGAUGAAGCGAUUUUUAUAUGUAUUCCAUUAAUCCGUAUUAAUAAUCAUUAUUACAAUAUCAAGAGGCAAUAAUCGACAAUAACGAAUGUUGUCAUAAUAUUGCAGCCAUAUUGGCUCCUGUUUUUAAAUGUAUAAUUAAGAUAUGAUUUCAAACAGUCAGUUGUUACUGGCAACAGUUUAAAGUAUUUUGAUUAAUUGAAGUAAUUUGUUAAAUUCAAGUAUUUGACAUUAAAGACAACACAGAUACAAUUAUUAAG
ensembl:lncRNA